UACGGAGGGUGCGAGCGUUGUCCGGAUUUAUUGGGCGUAAAGAGCUCGUAGGCGGUCUGUCGCGUCGGAUGGGAAAACCCAGGGCUCAACCCUGGGCCUGCAUUCGAUACGGGCAGACUAGAGUACGGCAGGGGAGACUGGAAUUCCUGGUGUAGCGGUGAAAUGCGCAGAUAUCAGGAGGAACACCGGUGGCGAAGGCGGGUCUCUGGGCCGAAACUGACGCUGAGGAGCGAAAGCGUGGGGAGCGAACAGG
rnacentral:rRNA from 1 species